GUAUUAUGUUUACCUCAUUAGUGGAGCCUCAUUCUACGGAUGUGAAAAUAUUUAUGCUAGUCGCACUUAUUGGGAAUUUGUGGAUAGAACAAUAAAAUUAUUUUCCUAGCUCAGUUAGCUCACUAUAUAUUUUUUCCCAUUGACUUUACCAGUGAGAGGAAGAUGAAAACAGUAUGAAUGAGUAUGCAACAUUGUCUCAAAGUCAGCCAGCCUGGUAACAUUUUAUUCAGCCAAUACCAAUUGUGAAUACGGGCAAUGAGCAGCAAGACAUUGGAGAAGGGGAGCUCCAGGGCAAUGAAUGCCAACUAAAGGAAUCUUGCAUAGGGUGGAAAUGGCUGGACACUCGAACCACCAUCUUGCUUAGUCAUUGGCUUGAUGCUACAUGCUACAUGAAAAGUUCAUGCUCUUUGCUGAGGCAAUCUCUGAAGGAGCUGGU
rnacentral:lncRNA from 1 species